GACGAACGCUGGCGGCGUGCCUAAUACAUGCAAGUUGAGCGCUGAAGGUUGGUACUUGUACCAACUGGAUGAGCAGCGAACGGGUGAGUAACGCGUGGGGAAUCUGCCUUUGAGCGGGGGACAACAUUUGGAAACGAAUGCUAAUACCGCAUAAAAACUUUAAACACAAGUUUUAAGUUUGAAAGAUGCAAUUGCAUCACUCAAAGAUGAUCCCGCGUUGUAUUAGCUAGUUGGUGAGGUAAAGGCUCACCAAGGCGAUGAUACAUAGCCGACCUGAGAGGGUGGUCGGCCACAUUGGGACUGAGACACGGCCCAAACUCCUACGGGAGGCAGCAGUAGGGAAUCUUCGGCAAUGGACGAAAGUCUGACCGAGCAACGCCGCGUGAGUGAAGAAGGUUUUCGGAUCGUAAAACUCUGUUGGUAGAGAAGAACGUUGGUGAGAGUGGAAAGCUCAUCAAGUGACGGUAACUACCCAGAAAGGGGCGGCUAACUACGUG
rnacentral:rRNA from 1 species